UGGAUGAUGUGGUUAAUUCGAUGCAACGCGAAAACCUUACCACCUUUGACAUGUACGGAAGCCUUUAGAGAUAGAGGCGUGCUCGAAAGAGAGCCGUAACACAGGUGCUGCAUGGCUGUCGUCAGCUCGUGUCGUGAGAUGUUGGGUUAAGUCCCGCAACGAGCGCAACCCUUGUCAUUAGUUGCUACAUUCAGUUGGGCACUCUAAUGAGACUGCCGGUGACAAGCCGGAGGAAGGUGGGGAUGACGUCAAGUCCUCAUGGCCCUUAUAGGUGGGGCUACACACGUCAUACAAUGGCUGGUACAAAGGGUUGCCAACCCGCGAGGGGGAGCUAAUCCCAUAAAGCCAGUCGUAGUCCGGAUCGUAGUCUGCAACUCGACUACGUGAAGUCGGAAUCGCUAGUAAUCGUGGAUCAGAAUGUCACGGUGAAUACGUUCCCGGGUCUU
rnacentral:rRNA from 1 species